rnacentral:rRNA from 1 species
UGGGGAAUUUUGGACAAUGGGCGCAAGCCUGAUCCAGCAAUGCCGCGUGCAGGAUGAAGGCCUUCGGGUUGUAAACUGCUUUUGUACGGAACGAAAAAGCUCUCUCUAAUACAGGGGGUGAAUGACGGUACCGUAAGAAUAAGCACCGGCUAACUACGUGCCAGCAGCCGCGGUAAUACGUAGGGUGCAAGCGUUAAUCGGAAUUACUGGGCGUAAAGCGUGCGCAGGCGGUUUUGUAAGACAGAGGUGAAAUCCCCGGGCUCAACCUGGGAACUGCCUUUGNGACUGCAAAGCUUGAGUGCGGCAGAGGGGGAUGGAAUUCCGCGUGUAGCAGUGAAAUGCGUAGAUAUGCGGAGGAACACCGAUGGCGAAGGCAAUCCCCUGGGCCUGCACUGACGCUCAUGCACGAAAGCGUGGGG